CCUUUAGAGUUUGGAUCCUGGCUCAGAUUGAACGCUGGCGGCAGGCCUAACACAUGCAAGUCGAGCGGUAACAUUUCUAGCUUGCUAGAAGAUGACGAGCGGCGGACGGGUGAGUAAUGCUUGGGAACAUGCCUUGAGGUGGGGGACAACCAUUGGAAACGAUGGCUAAUACCGCAUAAUGUCUACGGACCAAAGGGGGCUUCGGCUCUCGCCUUUAGAUUGGCCCAAGUGGGAUUAGCUAGUUGGUAAGGUAACGGCUUACCAAGGCGACGAUCCCUAGCUGGUUUGAGAGGAUGAUCAGCCACACUGGAACUGAGACACGGUCCAGACUCCUACGGGAGGCAGCAGUGGGGAAUAUUGCACAAUGGGCGCAAGCCUGAUGCAGCCAUGCCGCGUGUGUGAAGAAGGCCUUCGGGUUGUAAAGCACUUUCAGUCAGGAGGAAAGGUUAGUAGUUAAUACCCUGCUAGGCUGUGA
rnacentral:rRNA from 1 species